GGCUCUCACAGACAAAGUGAAUCGAGGAGCUCAAAAUGCUAUUUAGAUGAGAAAAACUGGAGUCCUUAGCAUUUUUUUAACUUAUAUAGUUAAAGAGGGGAAUAUGCUUCUAGCAUCGGCGCGUAUAUUCUUCGGAUAGUUUUUCCGCCUUGACUGCCACUACUCAGGCCGAGGAUGAACUGGGCGUGGAUGUGUCGUCUCCCAGCGGCGAUUUGCUACUCCAUUUUCUCAAGAGCGGUGGGGGUGACGAGCAGCUGAGGAGCAGUAGCAGCUACAGGACCCAGCAGUCGCAGCUCACCGUCCCUGCCACAGCUUUGCUCCUUCUGGAGGACCUGGAGGAGGAGGAGAAGGUCCUGCACGACCACUCUACGUCCCAGCAAUAAGAUUUGGUGGGUGGUCACCUCACUUCCAGCAGCACCAAGACCCACUUUUCCCUUCGGAUCCAUUCUUGACUCCGUCGGACCACUGAUUUCUACGCUCGUUUGCUCCUCUUCCAGUCGAGAGACCGUUCCAUCCGCCAGUGCCGUAUCCUUUUCCAAAUGCUCCGACUUUCCAGCCUGCUGAUAAUGUGGUUCAUCCGCCGCAUUCCUCUGGGGAGCUUAAAGCUCGUCCUGCCCUUCACUUCGAGUCUCCGGUGCUUGGACCCAGCGCAGCAGAGACCUCGGACUCCAAACGCGCCCCAGAGCAGCCGAGGAGAUCGGUUACACCUGCGAAGGAUGACAAGCAACAAUUCCACGGCAAUGGUUCCGAGCUCCUUCAAUUGUUACAGGGUGGUCCUGGUCGUGUGAAGCCCACAGCCUCCACAAAGGUGGAUGCUACACAGGACAGUGGGGAUUCUGGAGAGCCAUCAAAGAAAGGAAGUCCAUCUGCUGUUCACGGCCCAUGUCGUUUCUCCUCCGAAUGACCUCCUUGGACGUUUGUGGCCUGCUCUUCCGUCGUCAAGCCACACUUUGUUUGGCGGAGAAAGCGAACGCAAGACGUCAGCCCGGAGCUUUGGCGUUGAAGUGAACGAUAUGUCCCGGGAAGUCGAUGGAGGUGGAGCUGCUGGUUUCGCACUUUUGAAGCGAAGGGGAUCGGAGCCUGCCGCCUCGCACCACCUUUAAACGACUUCGACUAUAACGACUCUAAGACAAAUGAUAAGCCGAGGACAAACUCAGCAUCCGGAAGACUACAGGACUAUCGUGGGAGAUACGUAAAUGGAGAGGCCGAAUUUGAGCCCGGAGGCGAUGACUUUAGAGGCUGACUCAAAGGCAGCAUUUCCAGCGGAGAAAAAACCGGACUACAAGGUUCCAAAGGCACGGUCUUUGGCAUCUCAACUUGGCAUCUCAACUUGAACGUCCAGGCUUGCCAUCGGGAAGUACGCAGAACUCUUCCGUUGGUGCGGCUUUUGAGGAGUCCAAACAGAGGCUCCAUAAUCUAGAUGCUUUGGAAGGAGAAGGCGUGACGACCUCUCUAGAUCUCGAGGAGCUACAAAUUGACGGUCACCGUCGUCAGGGUAAAGCUCCACAGUUUUACAAGGUUUGUGCUUGCUUUUUUUCUUUCUUUAUUUCCAUGUGUUUGUAUCUCUGGUUGCAGCCGAAGGAGAACCGUUUCAGGGAGUCCAGACACGUCAUUCCCAUGCACAGACGUGAUCUUCUUUACCGACUGGAUCUGCAGAAUUUCACUCGUGAGCUUUUCUGCCUCUACGACGAGCUUUUCUGCCUCUACGACGAACCGAAGAAGGGGAGGUCCGGAGAAGGAAGUCGAAGCUUGAGUCCCUUUUCGAGAGAGAGCUCCCGGGAACACGGCUCUUUCUUUGCGGAUCGUGUGUUAAUGCUUUUGGAGUUUGUAACAGUGACAUCGAUGUUUGCCUCUCCGUUGAUCAGGAAGAACAGAACAAGAUCGAGCUGCUUGUUCAAAUGGCAACUAUCCUCGAGUCAGAUGCCAUGUUAAACGUACAGGAGGCGUACGACUCAACGUGACUCAUGGUACCCAUAGUUUCUUAUCCGAAUUUUUAGCCAUCCUCGGAGAAAACUUUCCUUUCAUUGUUCUUGGCAACAAGGUCGAUGUCGAUGGAGGGAACAGUAGAGUGGUGAGCUCUUUUGUUUCAUCUCUCGCCUCACUUUAAAGCUUGUGUGUUUAGGUUUCCGAGGAGAAAGCCAAGGUCUGGUGUGCUUCCAAGGGAAACAUUCCAUACUUUGAGGCGUCUGCCAAGGAAGACUACAACGUGGAGGCUGCGUUUCAAUGCAUUGCCAAGAAUGCCUUGAGGAGCGAACCCAAGGAACACUUGUAAGUUUUGCUUGUUUCUUCUUGUGAUGUUUCAAUCUCACAUUUAACUUCUGGCAGCUAUCUUCCAGAGACGAUCGACAUUACAAAUAACAAUUGAUCUACUACUACUGUCCCUCUAUCGAUAAGUGUUUUCGCUUUCAAUUUAUAUGGUUUUUUUCUUUCUUUUUCUUGUCACUCUCUCCUUUCGCUCGUUGGCCUUGGAUUUUUUAACUUCUCAAAUACGUUUUUUUUUUUUUGCUACGAAAUAAUUUUUCUUCUUCGAUCUUGUAUCUAGUUACUACUAGUAGUGCGCAAAUUGUUGUGUUUGUGUAUUAUUAAAUUUUCUUCGUUUCUAAUGGAUUGCUAGUUGACGAGAAUGUGUCACAACAUGCCUAGUUUUUCUCGAUUCCACAAGUCUGGGUUGCAAAUAAGCAAAGGCUGUGAUUGACACUGCAUCACAAGAGUUUCCAAUCCUUGGCAGCGAUGCAACUUCGAAGCUGUGCAACCCUUUCAUUGUCUUAUUCAGCCGCCAAUUUCAUUAUCCAAAAGUAUGGGGAAUGUGGCGAUGUGGAUGGCUUCCACAAACCAAAGCAAUCAGGAUCGAGAGAGAUCGCUACAUUGAUCUCGAAAAGUGCAUAUUCUUAAUAUUCCUAUGUUUUCCAUAUUUUACCAUUUACUCUGUACACCAAAACCACGAGAGUAAAGUAAUAUCCCGAGAAUACGAUUUGUAAGAAAAAAAGAAACUGUUUCUUCUCCAAACGCUGCUGACGCUGUGAAAUCUCUGUUUUCGUUUUUUGAUGUCCUGCUUGUGAUGCAAAAUAGUGUAGCAUUUGCGCAGAUCUUCAAGAACCCAAUCGAUGUCCACUGAAGGAGCAAGGUUUGAAAGUGUCGAUGUGGAGAUCCGGCCGUUCCACAAGCCAAGGUGGAACUUUCGUACCUUUUGGGCACCAUAGGGAUUCGAGCCUUGGAAAUAAGCCAAGGCCGUGAUUGUCUGAACUCAAUUGGGGCCACACUACAUCAUCAUGACCAAAGAGCACAAGUUCCUCCAAUCCUGGAAGGGAUGCAAUGGAUGAUGGAAUAUUUUCGUUCCUAUCCAAGGUUACUUUUGUUAGAGCAGUCAUCUGGUCUGUUGGCUCAAAGAAAUCAUUGGGGGAGCUGCUUAAUAAUAGCCUCCCUCGCGAAUAAUUCGACCUGUUUCACCUUCAGCUGUGAUCUUUCGGUUGGCAUCAAGAGUCUCCUCAUGUAACCUUCUACUCUCAGUUCAUCAAGGUCUUUGGGGAGUUGUGUCACAAAGAGAGGCAAAUGCUCCCAUGUAUUAUCAGGAGCCAGAUAGAAUCUUAACCUCUUCAGGUUUGGAAGACUUGCUGCCAAAUCGUCCUUGAACUCGGACUGUGCAAUGUGUAGAUUUUGAAGGCCCAGAACUUCAAGGCAUGGGAACAAUCCAUCCAGACUGAAGAACUGGAUGCCACUGCAGUCUAUGUGAAGUACUUGUAGCCGUUGAAAGCCCUUUAGCCAAGACAGGUCUUUCAUUGUCCCAUUGUUUUCACCGUCUUGUACCCCGUCAAUCGAAAAGUGCUGAAGCUGUUUGGAAUUCUUAAACAUUCGCUUCAAGUCAAGUUUGAUAGUCGAUUGCACGCUAAUGUCACAUAGUCUUAGAUUGACAAGUUGCCACGGGCCGGUGAAAUCACCAAAGUCCAUGCUCUUUGCACACAACACCAGUGUCUCAAUGUCCUCUAGUGCACCAAGGCUGUGCGGUAUUUUUAUUGUUGCAUCGUGGAGGUGUAGGUCUAAAUGUCUUAGCUUGUGUAGGCUUGAAAUUCCACUCAGAUCCACAGCUAACUCAUUGGAAAGAAGCUCCACACGUUCAAGGCAUGGGAACGAUCCAUCCAGACUGAAGAACUGGAUACCACUGUAGUCUAGGUGAAGUUCUCGUAGCCGUUGAAAGCCCUUUAGCCAAGACAGGUCUUUCAUUGUCUCAUUGUUUGUGAUCCUUAAAAAUUGUAGCUGUGGCCAUUCGAGGCUAUCGGCAUUGUUUUCACCGUCUUGUACCCUGUCAAUGGUAAAGUCCUCAAGCUGUUUCGAAUUCUUAAACAUUCGCUUCCAGUCAAGUUUAAUAGUCGAUUCCACCGUAAUGUUACAUCGUCUUAGAUUGACAAGUUGCCACAGGCCGGUGAAAUCGGCAAAGUCCAUGCUCUUUGCCCGCAACUCCAGUGUCUCAAUGUCCUCUAGUGCACCAAGGCUUUGAGGUAUUUUUAUUGUUGCAUUGUGGAGGUUUACCUUUAAAUGUCUUAGCUUGUGUAGGCCACUCAAAUCCACAGCUAACUCCUUAUAGGAAUGAAGGUCCAGCUCUUCCAAGUUGAAUAAUUGGGGCAGUAAUGCAAAGUUGAAUUUUGUGAUGUCAUUGUAUUUCAAAACCUUCAGUGAUGUCAAGCUGAAGAGCCCAUCUGGCAAUUGAGGCACACCUGAAUCUCGAAGGUCAAGCACUUGAAGGUUUCUCAGCUUGGAUAUGCUCUCUGGAAUAAAACGGACCCAAUUUCUAUACAAGCUCAAUACCUUGACAUUUUGGAUGUGAUCUAUAAUAAGACUGACAUCCACUCUAGAAUGACAUCCAUCGAGAAGCAAGACAUCUCGCACAUGAAUGUCAGACAAAAGGCUCCUUGUAACAUUCUUUUGAAUGAAUGAAACUUUAGAAAAUGUUGGAGAAAUCCCAGGUGGACAAUCAUAGCCAAACAGACAUCCCUUCUCGUGCUCUUCCUGGGGUGGGUACUUCCCUUUCAAGAUUCUUAUGCACAGCUUGCGUACCAUAUCGUGCACAGUUACAUACUUUUCCCGAAGUAUACUAGUUGUCUUCACUAGGCAUCUUCGUUCCAGUUCACUAACAAUCUGCAGAGGCGAGAGUUCUGACCCAACCGCUAUCCAACAUUUUCUCAGAUCAUCAAACUCGAUUCGCCGAUCUUCUGGAAACGCAGCCACAUAGAGAAAGCACUCUUGCAGCUUUUCAUCCUUAUUAAAGCGUCCCAGCUCGUCAUAGCUAAACUUCAAGCGCUGGAACAUCCGCUUCUCAAUGUCCCCGUCAUUCAACAAAUGCAUCUUCUGAUAGCGUUCUUUCCACACCUGUGGCCCCUCAUUCCUGUAGACAGCCAUGGCACUGCCAAUCACUUCAAGAGCUAAAGGGAGCCCCUCACAUUUGCUAGCUAUUCUCUCGGCAACUUUCACAAUGUCCGGAUCACUAGGUAGUGAAUCAUAAAAGGCAAACUUCCAAAACAUCUUUUUGCUCUCGGCCUCUGAUAGCUCAUGCACAGGAAAUGCCUUUGCACCCAGCAUGCUCAAAAUGCCUUCCUUUCUGGUUGUUACCAGCACCCGGCUGUAAGAGGACGGCCCUGCUAUAAAAUCCAGUCCCUUGGCCCAGCUCAUGUCCCACACAUCAUCCAGUAUCAGCAAGACACAAAUUCCACGAGCAACAUUUUGUGCCAAGUGCUGCACAUGCUCAAGGGUGCCUGCAUUUUGGGCCCUCUCUUUCAUGCCGCCCCAUUCAAGAGUGUUGAGGAGCUGGGCCCUGAGAUCGUCCUCCGAUGCAUCUUUCUUGACAGUGAUCCACACAAUGUUGUCAUGGAAAUGCUGCCGGACCCUCUCGUCAUUGUGCACGAAGCUUGCAAGGGUGGUCUUGCCACACCCUCCCAUUCCCAGGAGUCCAAACCAUUUCCCCGGGGCUUGUGGAUCCAGGAGGGCAUUCACCACCUCAUCCAGCUGCUCCCCAUGGCGGCCAAACAUGUCGCUGGGCUCGGGACCACCACGCCGUACAUAGUUUACGAGACCUCUGUCUUGUGGACAACUCCGUACGGAAAAGCUGGUGCUCGGCUGUAUCACUCUCAACUCUUCUCGCUCGUACCUUUCAAUCUGCGGGAGGAGAUCGUCCUCGCAAGUGCGUACCAGCUCCGAAAUCGCGCCAGAUCGCUUCUCCCUGCGCGACAGAUCCAUCUUUUAGCUCCAUUGCUUCAAACAUGAAUUCGAAUAAGCCUUACUGUGAUCCAAGCAGCGCUUGCGCCUUCUUAGUCCAUUCAGUCAGUUCAGUCAGCCACGCCUCAGCCUCACCAGAGUAGCGGAAGUCUGGAUUCCUGUGCUUGGGAGCAUUAAACUUGUCAAGCGUGGCCUGGAUUCUGGAUGCCCUCUUCUUUAGCUCCUCAACGUGGACAUUCAGCUCAUGCUCGUGACCUUGGAUCUGCGACAGGAGAUCGUCAUAGGCACUUAAGGACUUCGCGAUCUCGUCACUCCGCUUGUACCUAUAGGAAGUGGAGAAGUUCAACCAGCUGCCUGCUAUUUCUAAACACACACACACACACACACACACACACACAAAAGAUAAAAUGCUACUGUACCGACCGCUUUAUGGGGCUCCAGAUCCUGUUGUCGCGUGAUCCCAAGAGUGCUUGUGCCUUGGUGUUCCAUUCCCUGACACGCUCCAAGCAUUCCUCGGCCGCUUCAGAGAACGUGAAGCCAGAAUUCUGCUGCUUGUGAUCGCUGAAAGCGUUGAUCUUGGCCUGGAUGUGGUGCGCCUUGUUCUCCAGCGUGUCAAUGUUGGCAUUGCAGUCCCAUAUCUUCUUAGCAGGGCCCAGAGCCAAGCCACACAAGGCGCCUGCCAAGGAGCCCACAACCUCCAUGCCUGUAAACCUACAAGUAAAGGUUCCCAGAAAGAAGCGCAAUAUUAACUCUUGACCUUGUAGAUCGGACUUUUUUCACAGCUGUGACUCACUCACUCUAAGAGAUUCACAGUGAGCACCGCAACGAUCGCUACAUCGCUUGAGAAACACCUCUAUUUGUACAAACAGACAAACGUGGAGCACGUAAAGUCUUUGGCCUAAAACGGGCAUCUUAAAGAUGCGACACGUCGUCUUUUCUCUUGUACGGCGUUGAUCCAGGCGUACGGAAAUAGAGGGCUCCUCUGCCUAUCUUUGAUGGGAUCCGGGCGAUCUUGUCACCGACGUCUUGAAAGAUCUUAGAUUCUAUCCGCAAUCGCCCAGUCAAUGCGAUCCUGGCGAUGGGUGCUCCAUAUCAUUCUAUUCCCGCCCGGACGUGAUCUCCAGGAUUUGCGAAGAAGAAGGUCGUCGAUCAGAUGCGCGAUGCUGGCGCGCAAUUGAUUGGGGCUUCCCGCUACAUUUUCCCGCGCUAUCGUCUCUACUUCUCCAUUCUAGGGUUCUUUCUUGGAGGCGACGUAGGUUUUCUAUUGCCCGCGUGGUCGAGGAGACGGCGCUGGGGGGCGGCCUUGAUCGGCGUUCUGGAGCUGCACAGGUAAUGGGGCUCGACACUCCGGGUUUUAGAAAUAGGAAGAGGCUCCAGCUUAAGGCUCCGACGAGCAGUGCCAAGGCGAGGAGCCCCAGCCAGCGUUGGUAAAUCGUGGACGACAGGGAGCUCUAGAUCUACGGUGACAACAAAGGCCCCUACGGCAAAAUGUUCCAUCGGCAGUGGAUCGCCAAAAACUCCCGCAAAAGCUGAGGCUUCUAGGACAGCAAAAAUUGCCGAGGUGAUUGUUGAUAGUGGAGCAGAGGAUUUAGAUGAUUCGGGAGUAGAAAGUGGAGCAAUCGAUGGUGGGGAAGAAGAGGUAAACAAGAUUAAGACUGGAGGAGGAAACGAUGCCGAGGUGGAAAGAACAACAGUGGUCGAGAGCUCCAUUGAGACUGUCUGGAAACAUGGCGAGGCUGUUUCUAGCGCCUUAGCUGGACUUUCAAUCAGAGGUAGUGCCUUGACCCACGGUAAUCCCGUUAAGAUGGAAGCUGGUUGUGGUUCCGUGAAAGCUGAAGCGUCGGUUUCGAUCGCAGCUGGAUGUGAUCCUAUGAAAGUAGAUGGGUUGGUGAAGAUGGAAGCUGGUUUUGAGUCUGCAAGAGUCGAAGCUCCGGUUGGCUCGGUGAAGAUGGAACCUGGUUAUGAUACUGUGAAAGUUGAAACUCCAUUCAGGGGUGGUAAAGCUGCCCAUUUGUCUGAAGCGAAGGUGGUUCCAAUAGAAAAUGACACGGCUAAAGCUGCAGAGAAGCAACCAGUUGUUUUAGAUGCAGAGAGGUGGUGGCUUCUCCAAGGGACUGAAGCUGCCGGGGACUCGACGUCCAGGGGAUGCCGGAUUCGUGUUGGCGAGUUCGUGUCCUUCAAUUUUCCCAAGCCUGAAGCCGAAAGUAAGAAGAAGUUCUUUGAGCACAAGAAGGUUCGGCCGAAAGCGAGCUCCGACAUUGUAAGGUUCUUGACAAAAGCUUCAGGAGAGGUACGUUUCACUUGACUUGUUUCUUCGUUUUAAUUCUAACCAUUUGCUCACAGAUAGGACGGCUUCCAGCCGACUGGGCCAAGUGUUUGAUACCUUUGGGAAGUGCAAAAUGGCACCAGAGGCUCUUUCUCUUAUGAGCAGCGUAGUUCUCCAUUUGAGGUUGAGUUUUCUGUGUUUACCAGAGACGUUACGUAUAUGAUGUGCUUGCAGAGUUUAUAUCAACAAGUCAGAAGCCUUACGAGGAGGGGGAUGAGCGCGGAUUGAAGCUUCUGCAAGCUAUCUUGAAGCCGUUAAUGCUUCGAAGAAUAAAAGAUUCAACUGAUAAAGAAGGAAGGUAAGCUAUCAUGCAGGCGUUCCUGUACGAAAUAGGAACUCAUAACUGUACCAACAAGUAAUCGGUUUCGAAUAAAUGUCGAGGAGCAGUGGAAGGAGUCGUCCAAAGUCGAGGCUCUGCUGCACCACCUCCAGACGUUAAGUGAGGCCGGGUCGAAAAGCGUUGAUUUUAGUCAGUGGACAGCGUUUCUCGACUUGUUAGAGAUACCAUUGAAAAGGUAUGAGCGUCUUUCCUUUUGGUGCUUUCUCUUUGUUUGUGUUUCUAACAAUGCACUGCCAGGAAGACCUUCUGUUUCGUCCGCUUGGACGGAACACUAUCGCAGCGUCAGCGAGAACAAGUGCUCAAAAACUUCAGCAAUAUUCCAGCCGUGGCCGUAAGCUUUUUGUGUUGCUUACCUCCAAGAAACCACUCUAUUUUGUGGACAGGUCAUGCUCUCAUGCUUUUCUCAUGGUACGCGCUAUAGUUUUCUUUUUUAGCCAUCUUCCGAGUCGAGAAUGUGGACGAUCGAGCAUCGGUCAGACGAAGAACGUAUCGAUCAAGCGAUUCAUCGUCAAAGUAAGCGCCACUUGAAACUCUCUUUGACGUUUCUCAUGUCUCUAGAGGAGGAGAGAGUGCAACAGGUCCAAGCGAGGAAGCAGCGAUUGAUCGGGGGCUCUCACAGACGAAGAGGUGCGAAGCGCUCGAAUCGCGGAGCUCAAAAUGCUAUUUAGAUGAGAAAAACUGGAGUCCUUCGCAGUUUUUUUAACUUAUUAUAUCAGUAUACAUAGUUAAAGAGGGGAAUAUGCUUCUAGCAUCGGCGCGUAUAUUCUUCGGAUAGUUUACUGAAUGAAUGUGUCAUAGGCUAUCGAUAUAGGAGCUAUGGCUCAUUUCUAGGUUUCUUCGACAGCGAAGGAGCAGGCGAUCGCGUCGCAAGCGGCGACGAGCAAGGUAUGCAUGCUAAGAUCGCCUCGAGAAGCAGCAGCAGCGCCGGCGCCGGCGCCGCGCCGCGAUUUCGCUGGCCUAGAGCCGGAGUAGCCGAGCUAGAUUCAUGCAAGCAUAUGAUCUCUAGGAAAUUGAGCUGAACGCUGAGGCUUUGCAGGCGAUCGCGUCGAUUCCUCUCGUCUCCGCGGCCGGGGCGGCUAGAAAGCCGGGGCGCAUUCUAGAGUUUCGGGGUUUCUGGGGCGAUCAGUCAUGUAGCGGGCAGUGAUUCUCUCACAGGGAGCUCAGCCAUGACGUGGAAUCCGCCACAAGUUCCUCCCAGCUUGUCCGCCUCGACUGCCACUACUCAGGCCGAGGAUGAACUGGGCGUGGAUGUGUCGUCUCCCAGCGGCGAUUUGCUACUCCAUAUUCUCAACAGCGGUGGGGGCGACGAGCAGCUGAGGAGCAGUAGCAGCUACAGGACCCAGCAGUCGCAGCUCACGGUCCCUGCCACAGCUUUGCUCCUUCUGGAGCACCUGGAGGAGGAGGAGAAGGUCCUCCUCCACGACCACUCUACGUCCCAGCAAUAAGAUUUGGUGGGUGGUCACCUCACUUCCAGGAGCACCAAGACCCACUUUUCCCUUCGGAUCCAUUCUUGACUCCGUCGGACCACUGAUUUCUACGCUCGUUUGCUCCUCUUCCAGUCGAGAGACCGUUCCAUCCGCCAGUGCCGUAUCCUUUUCCAAAUGCUCCGACUUUCCAGCCUGCUGAUAAUGUGGUUCAUCCGCCGCAUUCCUCUGGGGAGCUUAAACCUCGUCCUGGCCUUCACUUCGGGUCUCCGGUGUUUGGACCCAGCGCAGCAGAGACCUCGGACUCCAAACGCGCCCCAGAGCAGCCGAGGAGAUCGGUUACACCUGCGAAGGAUGACAAGCAACAAUUCCACGGCAAUGGUUCCGAGCUCCUUCAGUUGUUACAGGGUGGUCCUGGUCGUGUGAAGCCCAGCCUCCACAAAGGUGGAUGCUACACAGGACAGUGGGGAUUCUGGAGAGCCAUCACAGAAAGGAAGUCCAUCUGCUGUUCACGGCCCCAUAGGACCGCCGAGGCGUCAUGUCGUUUCUCCUCCGCAGAGUCCAAAUGACCUCCUUGGACGUUUGUGGGCUGCUCUUCCGUCGUCAAGCCACACUUUGUUUGACGGAGAAAGCGAACGCAAGACGUCAGCCCGGAGCUUUGGCGUUGAAGCGAACGAGAUGUCCCGGGAAGUCGAUGGAGGUGGAGCUGCUGGUUUCGCACUUUUGAAGCGAAGGGGAUCGGAGCCUGCCGCCUCGCACUACCUUUAAACGGCUACGACUAUAACGACUCUAAGAAAAUGAUAAGCCGAGGACAAACUCGGCAUCCGGACGACUACAGGACUAUCGUGGGAGAUACGUAAAUGGAGAGGCCGAAUUUGAGGCCGGAGGCGAUGACUUUAGAGGUGCGGGAAGGCGUCGAGGUACCGGUCGUGCAGACGCCAGACGCGGUGGUCGGGGUGCUGUUGGCCAGUGGAUUGCGGUAAAUGAGAGGCAUAAAGAUGCUGAGCCAAGUGACAUCACCUCCUGCGAUAUCUCUGAUGGAAGGGACGAGUCGCUUAAAUCUUCAAACGGGACUUAGUCGAAUGCUAGGAGAAAACAUCAACAGGAAUGGAGGAUAAAACAGGCCGACUCAAAGGCAGCAUUUCCAGCGGAGAAAAAACCGGACUACAAGGUUGCGAAGGCACGGUCUUUGGCAUCUCAACUUGAACGUCCAGGCUUGCCAUCGGGAAGUACGCAGAACUCUUCCGUUGGUGCGGCUUUUGAGGAGUCCAAACAGAGGCUCCAUAAUCUAGAUGCUUUGGAAGGAGAAGGCGUGACGACCUCUCUAGAUCUCGAGGAGCUACAAAUUGACGGUCACCGUCGUCAGGGUAAAGCUCCACAGUUUUACAAGGUUUGUGCUUGCUUUUUCUCUUUCUUUAUUUUCAUGUGUUUGUAUCUCUGGUUACAGCCGAAGGAGAACCGUUUCAGGGAGUCCAGACGCGUCAUUCCCAUGCACAGACGUGAUCUUCUUUACCGACUGGAUCUGCAGAAUUUCACUUGUGAGCUUUUCUGCCUCUACGACGAGCUUAUACCAACCGGAGGUCCGGAGAAGGAAGUACUUCUCGAAGCUUGAGUCCCUUUUCGAGAGGGAGAUCCCGGGAACACGGCUCUUUCUUUUCGGAUCUUGUGUUAAUGCGUUUGGAGUUUGUAACAGUGACAUCGAUGUUUGCCUCUCCGUUGAUGAGGAAGAACCAAACAAGAUCGAGCUUGUUGUUCAAAUGGCAACUAUCCUCGAGUCAGAUGCCAUGUUAAACGUACAGGAGGCAUAGGACAACGUGACUCAUGGUACCCGCUAUAGUUUCUUAUCCGAAUAUUUAACCAUCCUCCGAUCCAGAGAACUUUCCUUUCAUUGUUCUUGGCAACAAGGUCGAUGUUGACGGAGGGAACAGUAGAGUGGUGAGCUCUUUUGUUUGAUCUCUCUCGCCUUACUUUAAAGCUUGUGUGUCCAGGUUUCCCACAAGAAAGCCAAGCCUGGUGUGCUUCCAAGGGAAACAUUCCAUACUUUGAGGCGUCUGCCAAGGAAGACUACAAUGUGGAGGCUGCGAUUCAAUGCAUUGCCAAGAAUGCCUUAACCGAGGAAGACUUGUAAGUUUUGCUUGUUUCUUCUUGUGAUGUUUCAAGCUCACAUUUAACUUCUGGCAGCAGCUAUCUUCCAGACACGAUGGACAAUAAAAUACUCAAAACCACGAGAGUAAAGUAAUAUCCUGAGAAUACGAUUUGUAAGAAAAAAAGAAAAUGUUUCUUCUCCUAACGCUGCUGACGCUGUGAAAUCUCUGUUUUCGUUUUUUGAUGUUCUGCUUGUGAUGCAAAAUGGUGUAGCAUUUGCGCAGAUCUUCGAAAACCAAUCGAUGUCCACUGAAGGAGCAAGGUUUAUUAGGCCUCGAAGGUUAUAUGGACAUCCGGCCGCUCCUCAAGCCAUGGUGGAACUUUCGUACCGUUUGGGCAGCGUAGGACUUUGAGCCUGGGAAAUAAGCCAAGGCCGUGAUUGUCUGAACUCAAUUGGGGCCACACUACAUCAUCAUGCCCAGAGAGCUCAAGUUCCUCCAAUCCUGGAAGGGAUGCAAUGGAUGAUGGAAUAUUUUCGAUCCUACCCAAGGUUACACCUCUUAGAGCAGUCAUCUGGUCUGUUGGCUCAAAGAAAUCAUUGGGGAGCUGCUUAAUAAUAGUCUCCCUCGCGAAUAAUUCGACCUGUUUCACCUUCAGCUGUGAUCUCUCAGUUGGCAUCAAGAGUCUCCUCAUGUAACCUUCUACAUCCAGUUCAUCAAGGUCUUUGGGGUGUUGUGUCACAAAGAGAGGCAAAUGCUCCCAUGUAUUAUCAGGAGCCAGCUUGAAUGUUAAAAGCUGCAGGUUUGGAAGACUUGCUGCCAAAUCGUCCUUGAACUCCGACUGUGCAAUGUGUAGAUUUUCAAGGCCCAGAACUUCAAGGCAUGGGAACGAUCCAUCUAAACUGAAGAACUGGAUACCACUGCAGUCUAGGUGAAGUUGUCGUAGCCGUUGAAAGCCCUUUAGCCAAGACAGGUCUUUCAUUGUCUCAUUGUUUGUGAUGGUUAAAAAUUGUAGCUGUGGCCAUUCAAGGCUUUCGGCAUUGUUUUCACCGUCUUGUACCCUGUCAAUCGAAAAGUGCCGAAGCUGUUUGGAAUUCUUAAACAUUCGCUUCCAGUCAAGUUUGAUAGUCGAUUCCACCCUAAUAUCACAUCGUUUCAGAUUGACAAGUUGCCAUAGGCUGGUGAAAUCGCCAAAGUCCAUGCUCUUUGCCCACAACUCCAGUGUCUCAAUGUCCUCUAGUGCACCAAGGCCGUGAGGUAUUUUUAUUGUUGCCUUGUGGAGGCCUAGCUCUAAAUGUCUUAGCUUGUGUAGGCUUGAAAUUCCACUCAAAUCCACAGCUAACUCCUCAAAGGAAUAAAGCUCCAGCUCUUCCAAGUUGAAUAAUUGGGGCACUAAUCCAAAGUUGAGAUUUCUGGUAGCCUUGCAUUUCAAAACCUUCAGUGAUGUCAAGCUGAAGAGCGCAUCUGGUACAAGGCACAUCUCUCGAAGGUCAAGCACUUGAAGGUUUCUCAGCUUGGAUAUGCUCUCUGGAAUAAAACGGACCUGAUCAGAGCAGUGAAGCAAGCUCAAUACCUUGACAUUUUGGAUGUGAUCUAUAAUAAGACUGACAUCCACACCAGAAAUUUUAUGACAUCCAUCGAGAAGCAAGACAUCUCGCACAUGAAUGUCAGACAAAAGGCUGCUUGUAACCUUCUUUCCAAUGAAUGAAACUUUAGAAAAUGUUGGAGAAAUCCCAGGUGGACAAUCAUAGCCAAACAGGCAUCCCUUCUCGUGCUCUUCCUGGGGCGGGUACUUCCCUUUCAAGAUUCUUAUGCACAGCUUGCGUACCAUAUCGUGCACAGUUACAUACUUAACCCAUCGAAAAUCAGUUGUCUUCACUAGGCAUCUUCGUUCCAGUUCACUAACAAUCUGCAGAGGCGAGAGUUCUGACCCAACCGCUAUCCAACAUUUUCUCAGAUCAUCAAAGUUGAUGUUCCAAUCUUCUUGAAACGCAGCCACAUAGAGAAAGCACUCUUGCAGCUUUUCAUCCUUAUUAAACCGUCCCAGCUCGUCAUAGCUAAACUUCAAGCGCUGGAACAUCCGCUUCUCAAUGUCCCCGUCAUUCAACAAAUGCAUCUUCUGAUAGCGUUCUUCCCACACCUGUGGCCCCGCAUUCCUGUAGACAGCCAUGGCACUGCCAAUCACUUCAAGAGCUAAAGGGAGCCCCUCACAUUUGCUAGCUAUUCUCUUGGCAACUUUCACAAUGUCCGGAUCACUAGGUAGUGAAUCACGAAAGGCAAACUUCCAAAACAUCUUUUCGCUCUCGGCCUUUGAUAGCUUACACACACGAAAUGUUUUUGCACCCAGCAUGCUCAAAAUGUCUUCCUUUCUGGUUGUUACCAGCACCCGGCUGUAAGAGGACGGCCCUGCUAUAAAAUCCAGUCCCUCGGCCCAGCUCAUGUCCCACACAUCAUCCAGUAUCAGCAAGACACAAAUUCCACGAGCAACAUUUUGUGCCAAGGGCUGCACAUGCUCAAGGGUGCCUGCAUUUUGGGCCCUCUCUUUCAUGCCGCCCCAUUCAAGAGCGUUGAGGAGCUGGGCCCUGAGAUCAUCCUCCGAUGCAUCUUUCUUGACAGUGAUCCAUACAAUGUUGUCAUGGAAAUGCUGCCGGACCCUCUGGUCAUUGUUCACGAAUCUUGCAAGGGUGGUCUUGCCACACCCUCCCAUUCCCAGGAGUCCAAACCAUUUCCCCGGGGCUUGUGGAUCCAGGAGGGCAUUCACCACCUCAUCCAGCUGCUCCCCAUGGCGGCCAAACAUGUCGUUGGCCUCGGGAACACCACGCCGUACAUAGUUUACGAGACCUCUGUCUUGUGGACAACUCCGUACGGAAAAGCUGGUGCUCGGCUGUAUCACUCUCAACUCUUCUCGCUCGUACCUUUCAAUGUGCGGGAGGAGAUCGCCCUCGCAAGUGCGUAUCAGCUCCGAAAUCGCGCCAGAUCGCUUCUCCCUGCGCGAAAGAUCCAUCUUUUAGCUUCAUUGCUUCAAACAUGAAUUCGAAUAAGCCUUACUGUGAUCCAAGCAGCGCUUGCGCCUUCUCAGUCCAUUCAGUCAGUUCAGUCAGCCACGCCUCAGCCUCACCAGAGUAGCGGAAAUCUGGAUUCCUGUCCUUGGGAGCAUUAAACUUGUCAAGCGUGGCCUGGAUUCUGGAUGCCCUCUUCUUUAGCUCCUCAAUGUGGACAUUCAGCUCAUGCUCGUGACCUUGGAUCUGCGACAGGAGAUCGUCGUAGGCACUUAAGGACUUCGCGAUCUCGUUACUCCGCUUGUACCUAUAGGAAGUGGAGAAGUUCAACCAGCUGCCUGCCAUUUGUACACACACACACACACAAAAGAUAAAAUGCUACUGUACCGACCGCUUUAUGGGGCUCCAGAUCCUGUUGUGGCGUGAUCCCAAGAGUGCUUGUGCCGUGGUGUUCCAUUUCCUGACACGCUCCAAGCAUUCCUCGGCCGCUUGAGAGAACGUGAAGCCAGAAUUCUGCUGCUUGUGAUCACUGAAAGCGUUGAUCUUGGCCUGGAUGUUGGGCGCCUGGUUCUCCAGCGUUUCAAUGUUGGCAUUGCAGUCCCAUAUCUUCUUAGCAGGGGCCAGAGCCAAGCCACACAAGACGCUUGUCAAGGAGCCCACAACCUCCAUGGCUGUAGACCUACAAGUAAAGGUUGUCUCCCUCCCAGAAAGAAGCGCAAUAUUAACUCUUGACCUUGUAGAUCGGAAUUCUUCACUUUUUUCACAGCUGUGGCUCACUCACUCUAUGAGAUUCACAGUGAGCACCGCAACGAUCGCUACAUCGCUCGCAAAAAACACCUCUAUUUGUACAAACAGACAAACGUGGAGCACGUAAAGUACUUGUGUCUUUGGCCAAAACCCUAAACAUCGACACGCCCGAGAAGAACAUCGUCUUUUCUCUUGUACGGCGUUGAUCCAGGCGUACGGGAAUAGAGGGCUCCUCUGCCGAUCUUUGAUGGGAUCCGGGCGAUCUUGUCACCGACGUCUUGAAAGAUCUUAGAUUCUAUCCGCAAUCGCCCAGUCAAUGCGAUCCUGGCAAUGGGUGCUCCAUAUCAUUCUAUUCCCGCCCGGACGUGAUCUCCAGGAUUUGCGAAGAAGAAGGUCGUCGAUCAGAUGCGCGAUGCUGGCGCGCAAUUGAUUGGGGCUUCCCGCUACAUUUUCCCGCGCUAUCGUCUCUACUUCUCCAUUCUAGGGUUCUUUCUUGGAGGCGACGUAGGUUUUCUAUUGCCCGCGUGGUCGAGGAGACGGCGCUGGGGGGCGGCCUUGAUCGGCGUUCUGGAGCAGUGCCAAGGCGAGGAGCCCCAGCCAGCGUUGGUAAAUCGUGGACGACAGGGAGCUCUAGAUGUACGGUGACAACAAAGGUCCCUGCGGCAAAAUGUUCCAUCGGCUGUGGAUCGCCAAAAACUCCCGCAAAAGCUGAGGCUUCUAGGACAGCAAAAAUUGCCGAGAUGAGCGAUGAUAGUGGAGCAGAGGAUUUAUAUGAUUCGGGAGUAGAAAGUGGAGCAAUCGAUGGUGGAGAAGAAGAGGUAAACAAGAUCAUGACUGGAGGAGGAAACGAUGCCGAGGUGGAAAGAACAACAGUGGUGGAGAGCUCCAUUGAGACUGUCAGGAAACAUGGCGAAGCUGGUUGUGGUUCCGUGAAAGCUGAAGCUUCGGUUUCGAUCGCAGCUGGAUGUGAUCCUACGAAAGUAGAUGGCUUGGUGAAGAUGGAAGCUGGUUUUGAGUCUGCAAGAGUCGAAGCUCCGGUUGGCUCAGUGAAGAUGGAACCUGGUGGUGGCUUCUCCAAGAGACUGAAGUUGCCGGGUACUCGACGUCCAGGGGAUGACGGAUUCGUGUUGGCGAGUUCGUGUCCUUCAAUUUUCCCAAGCCUGAAGCCGAAAGUAAGAAGAAGUUCUUUGAGCACAAGAAGGUUCGGCCGAAAGCGAGCUCCGACAUUGUAAGGUUCUUGACAAAAGCUUCAGGAGAGGUACGUUUCACUUGACUUGUUUCUCCGUUUUAAUUCUAACCAUUUGCUCACAGAUAGGACGGCUUCCAGCCGACUGGGCCAAGUGUUUGAUACCUUUGGGAAGUGCAAAAUGGCACCAGAGGCUCUUUCUCUUAUGAGCAGCGUAGUUCUCCAUUUGAGGUAGAGUUUUCUGUGUUUACCAGAGACGUUACGUAUAUGAUGUGCUUGCAGAGUUUAUAUCAACAAGUCAGAAGCCUUACGAGGAGGGGGAUGAGCGCGGAUUGAAGCUUCUGCAAGCUAUCUUGAAGCCGUUAAUGCUUCGAAGAAUAAAAGAUUCAACUGAUAAAGAAGGAAGGUAAGCUAUCAUGCAGGCGUUCCUGUACGAAAUAGGAACUCAUAACUGUACCAACAAGUAAUCGGUUUCGAAUAAAUGUCGAGGAGCAGUGGAAGGAGUCGUCCAAAGUCGAGGCUCUGCUGCACCACCUCCAGACGUUAAGUGAGGCCGGGUCGAAAAGCGUUGAUUUUAGUCAGUGGACAGCGUUUCUCGACUUGUUAGAGAUACCAUUGAAAAGGUAUGAGCGUCUUUCCUUUUGGUGCUUUCUCUUUGUUUGUGUUUCUAACAAUGCACUGCCAGGAAGACCUUCUGUUUCGUCCGCUUGGACGGAACACUAUCGCAGCGUCAGCGAGAACAAGUGCUCAAAAACUUCAGCAAUAUUCCAGCCGUGGCCGUAAGCUUUUUGUGUUGCUUACCUCCAAGAAACCACUCUAUUUUGUGGACAGGUCAUGCUCAUGCUUUUCUCAUGGUACGCGCUAUAGUUUUCUUUUUUAGCCAUCUUCCGAGUCGAGAAUGUGGACGAUCGAGCAUCGGUCAGACGAAGAACGUAUCGAUCAAGCGAUUCAUCGUCAAAGUAAGCGCCACUUGAAACUCUCUUUGACGUUUCUCAUGUCUCUAGAGGAGGACUCGGUGGAGGAGAGAAUGCAACAGGUCCAAGCGAGGAAGCAGCGAUUUCGCGAGGGCUCUCACAGACAAAGAGGUGCGAAGCGCUCGAAUCGAGGAGCUCAAAAUGCUAUUUAGAUGAGAAGAACUGGAGUCCUUAGCAUUUUUUUAACUUAUAAAUAGGGGAAUAUGCUUCUAGCAUCGGCGCGUAUAUUCUUCGGAUAGUUCAAUGAAUGAAUGGGCUAGGGUACAAGCAUUUCUAAGUUUCUUCGCGGCUAUGGCGGACAGCGAAGGAGCAGGCGAUCGCAAGCGCGGUUGAUUCCGGCAGCAUCGGCGACGAGCAAGGUAUGCAUGCUAGGAUCGCCUCGAGAAGCAGCAGCAGCGCCAGCGCCGGCGCCGCGCCGCGAUUUGAGCCGGAGUAGCCGAUCUAGAUUCAUGCAAGCAUCUGAUCUCUAGGAAAUUGAGCUGAAAGCUGAGGCUUUGUAGGCGAUCGCGUUGAUUCCUCUCGUCUCCGCGGCCGGGGCGGCUAGAAAGCCGGGGCACAUUCUAGAGUUUCGGGGUUUCUGGGGCGAUCAGUCAUGUAUCGGGCAGUGAUUCUCUCACAGGGAGCUGGAAGUCAGCCAUGACGUGGAAUCCGCCACAAGUUUCCUCCCAGCUUGUCCGCCUUGACUGCCACUACUCAGGCCGAGGAUGAACUGGGCGUGGAUGUGUCGUCUCCCAGCGGCGAUUUGCUACUCCAUUUUCUCAAGAGCGGUGGGGGCGACGAGCAGCUGAGGAGCAGUAGCAGCUACAGGACCCAGCAGUCGCAGCUCACGGUCCCUGCGACAGCUUUGCUCCUUCUGGAGGACCUGGAGGAGGAGGAGAAGGUCCUCCUCCACGACCACUCUACGUCCCAGCAACAAGAUUUGGUGGGUGGUCACCUCACUUCCAGCAGCACCAAGACCUACUUUUCCCUUCGGAUCCAUUCUUGACUCCGUCGGACCACUGAUUUCUACGCUCGUUUGCUCCUCUUCCAGUCGAGAGACCGUUCCAUCCGCCAGUGCCGUAUCCUUUUCCAAAUGCUCCGACUUUCCAGCCUGCUGAUAAUGUGGUUCAUCCGCCGCAUUCCUCUGGGGAGCUUAAAGCUCGUCCUGGCCUUCACUUCGAGUCUCCGGUGUUUGGACCCAGCGCAGCUGAGACCUCGGACUCCAAACGCGCCCCAGAGCAGCCGAGGAGAUCGGUUACACCUGCGAAGGAUGACAAGCAACAAUUCCACGGCAAUGGCUCCUUCAGUUGUUACAGGGUGGUCCUGGUCGUGUGAAGCCCACAGCCUCCACAAAGGUGGAUGCUACACAGGACAGUGGGGAUUCUGGAGAGCCAUCACAGAAAGGAAGUCCAUCUGCUGUUCCCGGCCCCAUAGGACCGCCGAGGCGUCAUGUCGUUUCUCCUCCGCAGAGUCCAAAUGACCUCCUUGGACGUUUGUGGGCUGCUCUUCCGUCGUCAAGCCACACUUUGUUUGACGGAGAAAGCAAACGCAAGACGUCAGCCCGGAGCUUUGGCGUUGAAGUGAACGAGGUGUCCCGGGAAGUCGAUGGCGGUGGAGCUGCUGGUUUCGCACUUUUGAAGCGAAGGGGAUCGGAGCCUGCCGCCUCGCACUGCCUUUAAACGGCUACGCCUAUAACGACUCUAAGACAAAUGAUAAGCCAAGGACAAACUCAGCAUCCGGAAGACUACAGGACUAUCGUGGGAGAUACGUAAAUGGAGAGGCCGAAUUUGAGCCCGGAGGCGAUGACUUUAGAGGUGCGGGAAGGCGUCGAGGUCCCGGUCGUGCAGACGCCAGACGCGGUGGUCGGGGUGCUGUUGGCCAGUGGAUUGCGGUAAAUGAGAGGCAUAAAGAUGCUGAGCCAAGUGACAUCACCUCCUGCGAUAUCUCUGAUGGAAGGGACGAGUCGCUUAAAUCUUCAAACGGGACUUAGUCGAAUGCUAGGAGAAAACAUCAACAGGAAUGGAGGAUAAAACAGGCUGACUCAAAGGCAGCAUUUCCAGCGGAGAAAAAACCGGACUACAAGGUUCCAAAGGCACGGUCUUCGGCAUCUCAACUUGGCAUCUCAACUUGAACGUCCAGGCUUGCCAUCGGGAAGUACGCAAAACUCUUCCGUUGGUGCGGCUUUUGAGGAGUCCAAACAGAGGCUCCAUAAUCUAGAUGCUUUGGAAGGAGAAGGCGUGACGACCUCUCUAGAUCUCGAGGAGCUACAAAUUGACGGUCACCGUCGUGAGGGUAAAGCUCCACGGUUUUACAAGGUUUGUGCUUGCUUUUUUUCUUUCUCUAUUUUCAUGUGUUACAGCCGAAGGAGAACCGUUUCAGGACCUCUGAAGAACUAAAG
rnacentral:lncRNA from 1 species